AAGAGAGGCUCGACAGCAACGAUGACUGCUAAUCCUCGUCACCCAAGUUAAACCCCUGGGCUCACUUG
rnacentral:tRNA from 1 species